UGUGAAAGGAGCAGGAAGAAAUUUGACCAUUCCAGCCUCAGCUCCAAGCAAAGUGUUCAAUCAGCAUCACAGUUCCCCUGUCCCUGAAGCCCAGGAACUCAUCUGUGCAUGAAAAUACAUCCAUCUUCACCCUUGGGUAGAUGCCUUCAUGGCAUUGCCCAUCUGGUUUGAAGGUUGGCCAGAAGCUGGGGCACAAUGGUGCUGGUUACCCCAAGGUCUAGCAGAGAGAGGUUGUCCAGGAAGAAGUACAUGGGUGUCUGGAGUCUGCGGUCCACCAGGGAGAGGAGGAUGAUGGAGCUGUUUCCUACCAGGGUGAGGAUGUAGGAAACCAGAACCAUUGCAAAGAGGGGCCUCUCCAGCCAGGGAAAGUCUGAGAAGCCCAGAAGGACAAAAGCGUUGGGAAAACUCAUGUUUCCCCUUUCCAUGGAAGCUGCCUUACAUAUACCUAGAAGAUAAGGGC
rnacentral:lncRNA from 1 species